UGCCUGGCGGCUGUAGCGCGGUGGUCCCACCUGACCCCAUGCCGAACUCAGAAGUGAAACGCCGUAGCGCC
rnacentral:rRNA from 1 species